UGGAAGGGAAGUCAGAGAGGGUCUAAGUGUGAGAAGUAUUUGCCUACUGUUGGCUCUGAGAUGUAGGGGCCCACCUGCAAGGACUGGAGAGUGGGCUCUGAUAGCUAAGGAGAUCUCUGGCUAACAACCUGCAAGGAAACGAGGACCUCAGUCCUAGAACCACAAAGAAAUUGAUUCUGUCAACAACCUGAAGGAGCUUGGGAGAGGAUUCUUUCCCUUAGCCUCCUCAUGAGAAUCCAGCAGGCUGACACCUUGAUUUCGGAGAACCCACUGGUCAGACCUGACCUGCAGAACUAUGAGCUAGGAAGUGGGUGCUGCCUUUAGCUGCUGUGUACGUGGUGAUUUAUUAUGGCAGCAUAGAAAACAACACAGCUGGCAGACCAGGAGGACACCACUCACCCUCUGUGAGCCUCAGUUUCUUCAUCAGUCACCAGAAGGCCUGCUGAGCUCACAAGAUUUCCAUGAGGAUGUACAGAAAAGAGCUUCGAAACGAGUGAUUCCAGUUUUGUUCAUCUGCUUUACGAUGUAAAUCAGUUUAAUGGAAUGCACCAUUCAAUCUUAAUGGACUCAUGAUUUCAUUUGAUGUUACUUUCAUUUUGGUUAGAGAAUGCACUUGGAGUUUCCUGAGAUUCCAGCAAUUGAGUUAUAAAUAAAGAAAUAAAACAAAAAUUCUAAAGUGGGAAAGGAAUCUAUGAAGACAGAAGAGAGAACAGAAGUCACAGGAGGGUUCUCCUUCUCUUUGAACCCUUCAUGUCUCUCAGAGACCAUCACUGCAUUGUGUCAGACUGAAUUGGUCUUCUAUUUCUAAUUCCUCACGGCUGUACUCUUGGCUCUGAAAGCAGUAGUAACUGGGAUAUAUAAAUACUGAGUACUGUCUUCAUGCUAAGUGGUAACAGAAGUGAUAAUCCCCAUCUCCCAUGCUGUAGGGAGACAUACAACUGCAAAAGCUUGAAGGGCUUUAGCUUUAAGCUAAAGUUGUGAAAGGGCUAAUGGUAAGAUUGCAGACAUCAAACUGGGUUAGGAAAUAGCUCUGGUCUAGAGGAAUGGGGGAGGGACACAGCUUCUUUUUUCAAUGGCUGGCCCUUAACAGUGCCUCUAAAACCACACAUUUAGGUUACCACCAUUGCUGAUCUGCCAGGAAGGGGAAUAGCCAGCCUUAUCCAUAUCCUCAUCUUCAGUGAAUUACUGGAGUCCCCCAUUUAGACAUCCUAAAAUGUUUCACACUGAUCAUAUCCAAAAUAGAACUAAUCAAAUCCAUUUUUUAUUCUGUGUUCCAUAUCUCAAUUAGUAGUUCCAUUCAUAGAGUCAUCCAGACCAUGAACCUGGGAGUCUUGUUUGACCUCGUGCCUUUCCCUUCUAUCCACUUAGUAACCAAGCCCUGUCAUCUGCCUUUUUAAGGUCUCACAUUUCUAUCUCUUUCUUUCCAUUUACAACACCAUUGCCCUAAUUUAGGCUCUUUUCAUUUUUGCCUAGUCUGGAAUAAUGUUUUAUUCAUAGGAAGAUCUCAAUAACUGUUAGUUCAAUGAUCAAGUUACCAUAAAUCUUCCUCCUAACUUGCUGUCCCCCCAUCGUUUGUGCUUCCCCUCUCUAAAUUACACUCCGUACUCCAAAAAAAAGUUCUAAAACCCAAAGCACAUCACGUCACUUUGAA